UUUACUAUCAAGUGUCCAUAAAAUAUAGUAAUAACGUUAGCUUUUAGCUCACAAGCAUCUUCAUUAUCUGCAGUGAUGAACCGUUCUAUUCUGAGAACUCAAGCCAAUUUUACAAGCCUUGAUCCAUAACACUGUUUCGGCAAGGAACUGAAUAUACACAAGGAGAUGAAGAAUCUUUGAGAAGGCGUUACUGGAAUCACUCUACAAAACAUUGAUUUUGCUUCAUCGGAGCAUCAGAAUCUAAACAAAAAAUUGGAAUGAUGGCUAAAUUCCAUUUGUUAUUUAUGGAUCCAAGAUGUGCUUCAAUUUGGUCCAUGCCCUCGGAAGGAGCAAUGGGAUUUUAUGCGUAUUCCAUUAUGUCAUUCUGUCGGAACACCAUGUU